UCUAAAUGUAGUGUACCUAGAGACUGAA
rnacentral:piRNA from 1 species